rnacentral:rRNA from 1 species
CAAAAACAUUGCCUUCUGCCCAAAAAUAGAAGGUACAUCCUGCCCAGUGAAUUAAAUUUUAACGGCCGCGGUACCCUGACCGUGCAAAGGUAGCAUAAUCACUUGCCCCUUAAUUAGGGGCUAGAAUGAAUGGACAAACGAAAUUCUAGCUGUCUUCAAAAGUAAAACUAAAAAUUAACCUUUAAAUGAAAAGGCUUAAAUAAAAAUAAAAGACAAGAAGACCCUAUCGAGCUUGAUCUUCUACAACAUCCCUAGAUUUAAAAACCAUCUAUACCUCUAAAAAAGAUUUAGUUGGGGCAACUUAGGAUAAAUUAAAUCAUCCUAUAACAAUAAGAAAUACAAUUCUCACUAUUGAUCCAAACAAACUGAUUAAAGAACAAAGCUACCGUAGGGAUAACAGGCUUAAUUUUCCCCAAGAGAUCACAUUAAAGGGCAAAAUUGGCACCUCGAUGUUGGCUUAAA